GAUAUGUGAAUAGAACCAGCAUUGGGUACCUUAAUGCUGCUAUUCGAGACUGCUUGUUCCAACAUACAACUAAGUCCUUCCAUUGCAAUAGCAAAUAGAUACGGAGAGAGUGGAUCACCUAGUCGGAUGCCAUUCGUGCUCCCAAAAAAACCAAUAAGUGAGCCAUUAAAGAGUAUCGAAAACUUUGGGAUUUCCAAGCAACUUUGAAUCCAAUUAAC
rnacentral:lncRNA from 1 species